rnacentral:lncRNA from 1 species
AUAGCCUAAUGUCAUCAAAAGACUAGAUAGGGACGGAUAUUUACCUUUUUCUUUUUGGAAAUCGAGGUCCUUGCGUAGAGGGAAAGGAGAUCUACACUUUUUCCUUCAGCUGGCAGCGCAACCGGGAUCUCCUUCCUCUUCCUUUCUUCCUUUCCUUUCCUCUUCCUUUCUUCCUUUCCUUUCCUCUCCUUCUUUUUCUUCCUCUCUGUCCGUCUGAGACUCCCUCUGUGUCUCUCUCUCGGUUUCCAUCCAAAAGCCACAGCAAACCCCCUAAUUAAAUCACAUCAAAACACUAUUCACCCUUUGUUUAAUAUUAUUAAAUUUUCAUUUUGCCCCUAACACUUCAACAUAUCUACCGUUAUGCCAUUAACUU